GUUCUGCAACAGCCUCUCUAACAAGACGUAAGGUUGAUGCAGAAUUUUCUCCAAAAUUCCUAAUUUUAUAAAAUUAAGAGAGACAAAACCAGGAAGAAUUGUUUGGCAAAUUCCAUGAAUCUAUCUAAGGUUUUGCAUUUUUGGCACUUAUAUCUUGUACUUCUUUCAGGCAGAAAGUCAGGACGUAAGAAAAACACCGUCAACCCCAAGAAUAAGUGGCUGUAAAGGAAGCUGUGAUUGGCAGAUGGACGUGGGGCCAUGAAGGAGCUACGCCUCCAGCUUCAGACUUAUUUUAUAAUAAUAAAUGAUGUGAAAAGUCCAAGUUAUGCCAUUUCAGGACGUUUAGCGCUCAAGUGCAUCAAUGAAAUAUUUAUAAGUGAACAUCUGACUCUUCCUUCCACAUCCUUAGAAAGUUUGCAUAUUCGAGUUGACCCCCAAACUUGUUUUAAAGACAUCUUCUCAUUAGGAAAGUGAGAGAUCACUUAGUACUUGGCUGUGAGGGACCUUCUCUUCUUUUUCACUCUGGGAUAAGAAUUCAACUGUUUCUCCCACAGCCCUUUAACUUCCAACACAGCAGAGAUGGCAUGUAACAGAAAUAAACAUGGAAACAGGGCGGCAGUCUGGGAGCUGUUUCGCGUUACAACUUCCCCAAUCACCUGGAGUUUGCAUUUUUCAGAUGCCCUGAGUUGCUCUGCAAGAAGUGUUUACUCCUGAAUGCUAGUUCUGACACUGCUUGCUCCAUCCUGCAAGGGAAGAGAUGGAGCCACUGAAAGCACGGGCUUUGGCUUUGCCACGAAUUAAAUUAGUGGCCCUGGGAAACUGACAGUCUUUUUGUAAGAAUGAAGGGUUCCAGAACUCCAGGCCCAUCAAGGCAGGCUCUGCCCUCAGCUUUGUCUCCCACCUGCAGCGAUAGUUCUCAGUCGACCUCUAGGGGGCAGUAUCGCCUGAUUCCUCCCACCCUCCUCGUCCGGCGGGGCCAAGCCGGGAGCGCUGACCACAUUGGGCACUGUGUGUUGAAGGCUCAGAGCGCUCAACAAACGGUAGCUGUCACAGGACAACAGCUGUGCUCACAGUCGCUACAACUGCUGCGGUCUCUGUUUCCUUCUUCACCUUGAUUGCAACCACAGGUCAGAAACACCUUCCCACAUGUGGGCCUGGCAAUCUGUACCCCAUGGGACUUCGUAGCCCUGCGCAUGGAAAUCUGGCUUGGCAUUUGGCAUAGUCUGCCCCUUAUUGUGGUUUGGUUUUUAGCAUAACUUACCUCCACAUUUAGUUUUAAGUUUCUGGAGAGAAGGGAUGCGUUUUUUAUUUUUCCUUUGAUUCAUCACCAUCUCUGCUAGCCAAUAGCCCUCCACCCCACAAACAGUAGUUAGUAGUUAGUUUGGCCCUAGGUCCAGAACAGGGUCUCAAUGUGUGUUUGCUGAUGAUAGGGUGAUAGUGGCAGGGGGCAGGAUGUAGAAACCAUGAGACCCCUGGGUCGCUCUGUGCCCAGGUAUUUCUGGGUGCACCCAGGUAUACCUCAAUCUACAGCAGGAUGAUAUUCCCAAGGGCCCUUUCGUCCAGACUCACUCCUCAACUUUAUUCCCCAUUGUUCUCUUUCCUAAUCUACUAAAUGGAGAUCGCAUGAAUUAAUAUUUGCCUCACUGCCCACAAUUUGAAAAGGACAUACUUUCCCCAUAACCUCCUUGGGGGCUGAAGGAUUAAAAGAGCAGUCAAACAUAGCAGCUAGGAUGUGAGGGCCCAGGAGGCCACUGGCAUCCUUUUGAAAGCCUCUUGCCUCAGGGAUAACCAGGUUGGUGGGGUCACAGGCUAUGUACACGGUGUGGCUCUAAGGAAAGCACGCGGGACAUCUCUGGAUGGCUGAUGGUGCCUGGCGUCCUGAGGGCCCCAUGCAGCGGCUAACGAGAACAGGGCCCAGGGAGGAUGCUGGGGGCAGCACAUUGCCCUAAACCUCUGGGCUUUUGGUCCUGGUUCUGUGACCUUGCAUUUGUGUUCUGCUUUGUGAUUUCCAGAACAUUCUCACAUCUCUGUUUCCAUUAGACGUUACACAGCUUGUUGUGGCAGCCAGGACGUUUGACAGGGACACUUCUCCGGAGUCACAGAGCUGACUCAUGGAGGAAUCAGGAGGAGAAUGGGAGCUCCUUGACAUCUUCUCUGCACUUCUUCUUCUCAGUUUCCCUGCCUGCUCAGAAGUGGACGCUCUCCUCAGGGCAGGAGGGCACAGGUGUGGGGUGUCUUGGGUACCCUAGCAGUGCCUUGCCUUGUGCCUGGGUUCCUGUCACCUACAGUGGUGGCCAGUCACUUCAUCAUUCAUGGCUUCUGAGCCAGCUUCGGUUACUCAGAGUGUGGUCCACAGACCAGCAACAGUGGCUCCCUUGGAAUGUGUUGGAGAUGCUGCAUCCUGGCGACAUCCCAGGUCAGCAUCAGGCUCCAGCCCUGUGUUCACCAUGCUCACUCUUCCCAGGGUGUCGUCAUCCCGUCCUAAGACCUGUGGGAUCAGAGCUGCCCCUGUCGAGUGAACGAUCAUCAAGGCAUGCGUGUCAGUGGCCGACGGGCUUCCCUUCCCAGACGCUCCACGAUAGGUUCAGGGACCCCCAGGUGGGCAGCCCAUGCUCUGAGCUCAGGGGUCAGAUUCCCUGCACAAUAAACCUUGCAAGGGCCUCUGUAAGACCCAUGGGGCCAACUUUAGGCUCAUGUGGAGACCAAUGCAACCCCGUGGGGUCCAUGGCCCUGACAGCACUGUGUCUGUGGCCUCUCCCCCAUUCACAAGGCCACCUUUGACCCUUCAUUCCCCUGCUGGCCCUGUCUUCUCAGUGGACAGUCCUCCACAGUGCUGAGCCAACCAGACACUCUGCUGACAGUCUAGUCAUUUUCCUUAAUGUAAAGAGAAAGAAGCCCACUUUAUUAAGAGCAUAAAUCCAACAGUGGUUUCAUCUGCAGACUUAAUUCCCAGGCACCAAAGGCCUGAGUGUUCAUAAACAUGCUCUCAAGAUGGGCCAGGAGCUCCUCGAGCAUUGGGGACAUCCUCCUGUAAACAUGCGCAUGCCCACGAGAAGAAAGCAUUGUCCUAGAGGGAAUGAUGUCAGCUUGAACCUAACCGAAUCCAGCCUAAUGCAAAAUUCAUGCCAAAGGAUGGCAAGUGAAGGAUAGUUUAUUAAUCCAACUUAUUCAAGACGGCUAAGAAACGCUCGGGCCCCAGGAGCAGCCCAUGAAUAUUCUUCCUGCUAAUUGGAACUGUAUUUCAGGCCACAGCUGGGGAGGGGCAGGAGGAGGUGGAGCGUUCAGAAGCCUCUUUGGAGGCAGAAGAGUUGUGCCUGGCCAGGAGCUGCAGGCUCCCACGUUGGCCACCUCCUGACCAUGACCAGCUAAGGGAGGUGCGUCCUUGCCCCACCUGGACAAUAGGACGUGCACCAGUCCGUCUGUCAUUGGUGUUCCUUCCUCCAGCUGGUCGUAGGAAACAUUCAGCUCGUGCACAGGCAGCUGCAGGUUCUGUAUGGGGAAGUUCUCUUGCCAGGGAAUCAACAGCAAUGGGUGAGGGGCUGGACCCCAGCUCUGUACCUACCAGCCGCACGGCUUCAAGGAUGUUAUUUUCUCCCAUUAGAAUGAGUUUCCUCACUCUUCACAAUGCUCUAAGGACUCCGUGAGUUAGUGUGCAGAGUUGCUAGAAAGGUGUCUUGUGCUCAGGAUGUGGUACCUGUGGCAGGCCGACUUCUGAGAUGGUCCCCAGUGAUCCCCUCCUCCUGGUAUUCGUACCCAUGUAUAAACCCUUCCCCUUGAGUAUGGCCUAGACUAGUGAC